rnacentral:lncRNA from 1 species
GAGCUGGGUUCUGGAGAGACAGGGAAGCCCCCUGAGAAAAUGUGGCUCUGAUGUUUCUGAGAACCCAGAAUACAGGAGCUGCAGAGGGGGAGGGCUUGGUUCACCCCACAUGUCCCACCCCAUUUGGGCUCACCCCACACAUCCCACCCAUCCCAGUGAGGUGGUGGUGGUCAGCCACCUGUUUGUGUUCACGUCUGGGGUCACCGUAAGCCAGGCAGGAUCCAGACCUUCCACUGUGACUCUGACCCUCACCCACCAAAUCUUAGCCCUCUGUACAAGGUGUUUAAGGGGCCCCAGGGGGCCUGGGGGCCCAGUGAGCAGCCCCCCAACAGGGAGGGACAGGCUUGUGGUGCCAGGCUCUGGUAAACCAGGGCCUGCAGGAGCCAUGGGUACUUUCCUGAUGCAAAGAGGAAGGAAAAGGAAGGGAGCGGAGCCCCGCCUGGGCCGCAGGGCAGUGCACUCCUCAGCCGGCUUCCUCUGGUCACGCCCGCGGGGCCGCAGCACUGUGUGAGGGGUGGGGCCCUGGCACCUAGCUUGGGCACGUGCCCUCCUAGCCGGACCUCCCACAGGCAGGGGCUCUGCUCCCGCCUGCCUCUGCCAGCCCACUAGUGCUCACUGUUCCCUAGGUGUGUUUGUCAAAGUGUCUCUGAUGAACCACAACAAGUUUGUCAAGUGCAAGAAGACUUCAGCUGUGCUGGGCUCCAUCAACCCUGUGUACAAUGAGACCUUCAGCUUCAAGGCCGAUGCCACCAAGCUGGAUACCGCUAGCCUCAGCCUGACCGCGGUGCAGAACAUGGAAGGGGACACAGUUUAAGUAUAGUGUGCCUGGGCCGGGUGCGGUGGCUCACGCCUAUAAUCCCAGCACUUUGGGAGGCCAAGGCCAGUGGAUCACCUGAGGUCAGGAAUUCGGGACCAACCUGGCCAACAUGUGAAACCCCAUCUCCACUAAAAAAUCCAAAAAUUAGCCAGGCAUGGUGGUGCGUGCCUGUAAUCCCAGCUAUUCAGGAGACUGAGGCAGGAGAAUCGCUGGACCUUGGGGAGGCGGAGGUUGCAGUGAGCUGAGAUCGCACACUACCGUACUCCAGCCUGGGUGACAAAGAAAAACUCCGUCUCAAAAAAUAAUAAUAAUAAAAAAGUAUAGUGUGCCUGGAUGCAGUUUUGUUUUUAUUUAUCCUGCUUGGGGAUCAUAAAGCUUUAUCAGUUUUGGAAAGUUCUCAGCCUAUAUUUAUUUAACUGUUCCUUCUGCCCCAUCUUCCUCCCUUCUUCUAAGACUCCAGUUACGUAUGUAUUAGGCCUGUUCACCACUUCCCACAAGUAUCUUAUGUUCUUUGCUGUAUUUUCCAUACUCUUUGUCUCUGUUUUUCAGCUUAGAGUUUUUAUUCUGUCCUGUAUUACAGUUCAAAGAAUGUUCC